rnacentral:rRNA from 1 species
CAGCAGCCGCGGGAAAACGAAGGGGGCUAGCGUUGCUCGGAAUUACUGGGCGUAAAGGGAGCGUAGGCGGAUCGUUAAGUUGGGGGUGAAAGCCCGGGGCUCAACCUCGGAACUGCCUUCAAUACUGGCGAUCUUGAGUAUGAGAGAGGUGUGUGGAACUCCGAGUGUAGAGGUGAAAUUCGUAGAUAUUCGGAAGAACACCAGUGGCGAAGGCGACACACUGGCUCAUUACUGACGCUGAGGCUCGAAAGCGUGGGGAGCAAACAGGAUUAGAUACCCCCGUAGUCCCUGUCUCUUAUAC